UACGGAGGAUCCAAGCGUUAUCCGGAUUUAUUGGGUUUAAAGGGUGCGUAGGCGGAUUGAUAAGUUAGAGGUGAAAUGUCCGAGCUCAACUCGGGAACUGCCUCUAAUACUGUUGAUCUAGAGAGUAGAUGCGGUAGGCGGAAUGUAUGGUGUAGCGGUGAAAUGCUUAGAGAUCAUACAGAACACCGAUUGCGAAGGCAGUUUACCAAUCUAUAUCUGACGUUGAGGCACGAAAGCGUGGGGAGCAAACAGG
rnacentral:rRNA from 1 species